AGUUCACCCUGCAGGAAAAUCAGAGCUGACAGUUUUGUAAAUCACAGCAUAUGUGUGGAGGAAAACCUAAGCUGGCGGCGCUCAUUCUGCACCACAUUCCACGCCGUCCAGCAGCCAUACGUCUCUCAGGCUCUGCUCUUUCUCUGCAAUCACAGUUUGGAGCCGAAUACCAAAGUGGACCGCACCUCAUGCUAAACCGAGUAAACAAGUCCGAACGCUCGCAGUGACCAGACUCAGCUUCACCUGGUUAUAUAACGGGAAUGCGUCCAUACAGACUAAAACCAAAGAAAGUUGGACGUCUUUAGAAAAACACUGGCCUACAGCUGAAGGGCCGCCGCUCUCUGCAGCACACGCUGCCCUACAUACUCUGACUGAACUUCCCUCCCCAUGCUUAGUGCGUCUUCCUCCAAAUAUAAUAGAAAAAUGAAUCCAUGCUAAUGGCCAGAGGUUAUAUUUUCCACGCUGUCUCUGCGCAGCUCUGCAGAAACACAAUAGCAUGCAAUCAUGUAGGUAGGGCUCCAUUUGCCUGAUGAUAAUUGCCAACCUUUGCUCAUCAGGAUGCUCGAUUGGCUCACCCGCAGCACGGAUCAUGUUCUGCUGCUGACAAACAUCUGACUUCUGACCUCAGCUUCUAUCCACCCUCUCAUCUUCUUCUGGUGGUGACUAAUGGUGAAUCAUAAUGACGGUCUGCAAAAGGCUGAAAUUUAAGCGUUAGGGCUCCGUUUGUGUGUAACCACGUUUUCCCAAGGUUAAAUAAAGUUUGGCUGAACUUCAAAGCAGUUCUGAUGGUAACGUUAGCAGCAAAAGGAGGAGAAAAAUCUGGAGUUUGAUCAUUGAAAAAUUAUACAUUUCAUGUUUAGGUUACUCAAAAAAUAGUGUGUAAGCAUGAAGGAAUCUGAAAAAUAAUAUUGCCAUACAUUUACACGUGUUGUUUUGUGAUUGUUUAUUGUCUUAAGAUUAUAUGAAAUUCUGAAGUUGCAGUGAUGAGAAACAAUCAGAGCUUUACACGAGUCACUUGAGGUUCAAUUGGUACUCUGCGUUUUUAUUUUCUUUAAAAAGAAAAAGUCGCAUUUCUAUAUUCUGAAACGUCUUUAGCGACUUAUCCAGCUGGAUAGAGGAGCGGAUAAACCGAGGGGGAAAAAAAAGAGGAGGAACGGACUCCAAAGUUCACUGCAGAAAAUAGGUCAGCCGGUGUUAAUGUGCUUGAACUUUUGACCUGACGGGAGUGCAGCUAGUAGCUGAACAACAGACUCCUCUGACUGCUGGAAACCGACCACCGUCUCCUGAUGCAGAAUUAAAGAUUCUGCUUUAAUUUCAGUGAGGAACUGGCGAAAAAGCGGCGGAGUCACCGGGACGCGGAAAGGAAUCCACAAGAAGCUUGUCGGUAUUUACUUUGUAUUUUCAAAGCUAAAUGUUCCAUAAUCUCUUUCAGAUUUUCUGUCGUAACCCAAAUAUUUUUUUUUUCUCCCCCUUCGGUUGUUUGCGUCAUGUCUUUACGCCGCCUCUGACCUCAUUUCUGUCUGCAGAAAACCUCCAUUUAACAGGGCAAGCGGCUGCUCUCUGUUGUGUACACAAGAAACAAGAUGGCGGCGUACGGUACCUUACGUUCUGUUCGUCUCUUUCACUUUGCUUUGCUUUUCAUUAAGGCCGCCAGGUUGCUGUUUCUGUCCGUCUGCGAGUUUUUAACUCCACGCCUUUUUCCAGAUUGUUGGACAUUUCUCUGCAACAACAACAUCGAAAUGACGAUAAUGAAAACCCAGCCGUACAGCAAAUGAAAUAAUCUGACAAAAAUGAGCUCUGGUAGCGUGUUCCUCUCCUGUGUUUCUCUCCCUGUGAUUUUUUUAUUUUUUUUUUUGCCUUUUCCAACCCCCUGUUCUCUCUGCAGCAGGGCUCAUAAUAUCAGAUUGCACAGCCGGUCUUCGCCAAAUGUGAAUUUUAUACUCUAGUGAACACAGGCUUUACACUUUCAUUAGCUCACAUUCUCCUCAGCAGUGCAAAUGUCAUGUCGCUGGUUGGGGAGAGGGGGAAGGGAGUGAGUUUUCACUGCCCCUCAGAUGGCGGCGCAGGACUUCAGGGCGGGACGGGGAAAGCAUCCGGAUCGGACGUUUCCCCCCCAGGGUACGGAGGUUGCAGCCCAGCCGUUCAGAAAGGGACAGCUAAUUCAGAAUCUACCUCACUGAACACGUAUGGACGAUGUACAAACUAUGAAAGCAUGCAGAAAUACCAAACUGUUGUUGUGACAGGAUAAAUUUCUGUUCACGGAUCAUGCGUGUGUCACGAACAAAUUAUAUUAGUGCUGAGGACUUGAUGCAGACCUUAUUAUUGGACUAAUGUUCUCCUUGGGAGACGUUUACUUUUGUAUGAAAGGGUGAGGAAUAUUACUGAGGAAAAUUAAUUCAUAAGUUUGGAGCUUUAAUACAUAUGAAAUACGGAGAAGCUUCAAGGUUCAUCUGGUGGUUUUCACAUAGACCUGAAUCAUCAAGCAUUUACUUGAGUAGCAGCUGUACAACAACAUGAAGUAGGCAAAAAGAAAUGAAAAAGCUCCAAGUCAUGCUCCAAGCUAAAGAAACUAGAGAACAGAUGAGGAGUCUAACCAGUGACAUUUAAGUCUGGGAAAAGGUUUCAAAGCCAUUUUUAAAGUUUAGGAACUCCACUGAAUUGAAGUAAAAGAUGAUAUCUGCAAAAGGAGAAAUUAUUGAAGUACGAUCAACAUUUUAAGGCCAGAAUUUCUCCACAGCGAUGUUAAAGAAUCAUAAGCUGUGUUUCAACUGCAAAUGUGUGCAAAACUUUGCUGAAGUUCUGCUUAAGUCAUGAAAACACUAUUUCAACAUUGCAGUGUUCCCAUCAAAUAAAAAAUGAAUAAGUUAUUAAAAGCAUGCCGCGCCUUCGUCAGCCUUCAGCCACUUCCUGUUGUCUUCAUCAUUUCCACCAGUAGUAACAUCCGGGUUGUUGUUCAUAUGACUCGUGUUUCUGUUGCAGUUUUGUGAAUACGCUGUUUUCAAUAAAGCCAAAAAACCGCCUCCUAGCACAAAAACGUUUUAGAGAUAAACAUGAGUUUUUUAAGCAAAUUAAUUUUGGUAAUUGCAGUUUGCGCCUUUAUAUUUUCAUGUAACAGUUGUGAAAGCUUGAUGUUGCUACCAGUAGCAUUUGACGUUUACAGUUAAUUUUUCAAACAGGUUGGUUUGGACAACGUUUUCUUCCCCAAAUAAAUAAAAUCAUCCUCUGAAAAUAGCAGCUUGUGUUCAGUCAGGUAACUGUUUGAUAAUAAAACUGGUUUGAUUUUCUAAAAAUAAAAUAAAAAAAAGCAAAAAU